GACGAACGCUGGCGGCGUGCUUAACACAUGCAAGUCGAAGGAGUGGCGAACGGGUGAGUAACACGUGAGUAACCUGCCCCUUCUUUUGGAUAACCGUAUGAAAGUGUGGCUAAUACAGGAUAGUGGGGGAUGGGCUCGCGGCCUAUCUGCUUGUUGGUGGGGUGAUGGCCUACACAGGCGGUGACGGGUAGCUGGCCUGGGCGGGUGGCAGGUGACACUGGGACUGGGAUACGGCCCAGACGCGUACGGGAGGCAGCAGUGGGGGAGUGUGCACAAUGGGCGCAAACCUGAUGCAGCGACGACGCGUGAGGGAUGAAGGCCUUCGGGUUGUAAACCUCUUUCGCUGGGUUGAUUUGAACUGGUAAAGAAGUACCGGCUAACUACGUGCCAGCAGCCGCGGUAAUAC
rnacentral:rRNA from 1 species